CUUGCUUUUCUGAAUCUAGUGGCGAACGGGUGAGUAACACGUAGGUAACCUGCCCAUGUGCCCGGGAUAACUUCUGGAAACGGAUGCUAAAACCGGAUAGGUAGCAGACAAGCAUUUGACUGCUAUUAAAGUGGCCUUGGCCAUGAACAUGGAUGGACCUGCGGUGCAUUAGCUAGUUGGUGAGGUAACGGCCCACCAAGGCGAUGAUGCAUAGCCGGCCUGAGAGGGCGGACGGCCACAUUGGGACUGAGACACGGCCCAAACUCC
rnacentral:rRNA from 1 species